rnacentral:rRNA from 1 species
ACGGAGGGGGCUAGCGUUGUUCGGAAUGACUGGGCGUAAAGCGCGCGUAGGCGGAUCGGAAAGUUGGGGGUGAAAUCCCGGGGCUCAACCCCGGAAUGGCCUUCAAGACUCCCGGUCUUGAGUUCGAGAGAGGUGAGUGGAAUUCCGAGUGUAGAGGUGAAAUUCGUAGAUAUUCGGAGGAACACCAGUGGCGAAGGCGGCUCACUGGCUCGACACUGACGCUGAGGUGCGAAAGCGUGGGGAGCAAACAGG